rnacentral:rRNA from 1 species
AACGACUAUACCAUGCUGAAUAUACCGGUUCUCGUUAGAUCACCGAAGUCAAGCAUCAUUGGGCGCGGUCAGUACUUGGGUGGGUGACCACCUGGGAACACCGCGUGCAGU